AUUAAAGCUCUCUUCGGAGAGUGCAUAGAGUGGCGCACGGGUGAGUAACACGUAAGUAAUCUACCUUUGAGUGGGGAAUAACAUCGGGAAACCGAUGCUAAUACCGCAUAAUGCAGCGGCAUCGCAAGAUGACAGUUGUUAAAGAUUUAUCGCUUGAAGAGGAGCUUGCGGCAGAUUAGCUAGUUGGUAAGGUAAUGGCUUACCAAGGCUACGAUCUGUAACCGGUCUAAGAGGACGGUCGGUCACACUGACACUGAAUAACGGGUCAGACUCCUACGGGAGGCAGCAGUCGGGAAUUUUGGGCAAUGGGCGAAAGCCUGACCCAGCAACGCCGCGUGAAGGAUGAAGUAUUUCGGUAUGUAAACUUCGAAAGAAUAGGAAGAAUAAAUGACGGUACUAUUUAUAAGGUCCGGCUAACUACGUGCCAGCAGCCGCGGUAAUACGUAGGGACCAAGCGUUGUUCGGAUUUACUGGGCGUAAAGGGCGCGUAGGCGGCGCGACAAGUCACUUGUGAAAUCUCUGAGCUUAACUCAGAACGGCCAAGUGAAACUGUUGUGCUAGAGUGCAGAAGGGGCAAUCGGAAUUCUUGGUGUAACGGUGAAAUGCGUAGAUAUCAAGAGGAACACCUGAGGUGAAGACGGGUUGCUGGGCUGACACUGACGCUGAAGCGCGAAAGCCAGGGGAGCAAACGGGAUUAGAUACCCCGGUAGUCCUGGCCCUAAACGAUGAAUACUUGGUGUCUGGAGUUAUUAGUGCUCCGGGUGCCGUCGCUAACGUUUUUAGUAUUCCGCCUGGGGAGUACGCUCGCAAGAGUGAAACUC
rnacentral:rRNA from 1 species